GGUGGAGUCAAGGUGUCGGGGCGUGGUAAGUAGGCCCGGGCAGACCUCCCUCGAAGCUACGCCAUCAGCUGGAGUCUCAGAUGAAGUUAACAUGGCUGAGCAGAGGCGUUGAAAUUUGGAUUUCAGAUGUCAGGAAACAAAACAAUGAAGAACGACUCUAAGAAGAAGUCUAGUUCUGCUGUUCCUCGCAACCCUUACAGCAGAGGCAAGCUGGGAGAGAGUAUCUAUGAAAGAACUAAAGAGUUCACUCUGGACGACCCCAACAUAAAGCUCAUGAACAUGGAGUAUAAUAGUCUGCACGAUCCUCACCUGAAGCACUUUUUUAAUCAGCAAGGGAAGAAACAGCGCCUGAUGAAACUGGGGCUCAUCACAAAAGAUAACAAGGUGCUGUGUACUCUGAAGGAGUUCAGGGAGUACAUGCGCUACAGAGAGGCUUUUCACUUGAGCUGUGAGAAGCAUUUGCUUGAGCAACAGAACAGACAGGAUGAGCAUUUCAGACAUGAGCGACUGCCUGAUACGUAAAGGGAUGGGCACCUUCAGGAAAAUGUACAAACAAAACAUUAAACCUGGCAGCAAUCCAUAUUAUGAUGAAGUGUUGUGGAAGGUAAGGCAGAGACUCCAGCUGGAAAAAAUGGAGAAGGAAGUGAUAAACUGUAUAAAAUGUCCCUCCGAUUCAGACUGCAUUGAAAAAACCUGUGAGGACUGCAUGGACUUCAAAGGUCCGCUCUUCCUCCUCGACUUUUCCACGUCCUGCACUACAAACUAUAUACGAGGAAAUGGUCGAACCAUCCUCGAAAUUCCCUCGCCCCGGAUUUUCUGCUGGAUCGACUGGAUUAGUUGGAGUAAUCAAUAAGGUCACCAGUAAAUCACCUGGGAAAUCUGCAGAUGUGAUGGUAAGAAUGCAGAUUUAUGCACUAUAGAGAUAGAUGCAGAUCUUUAAGAGUGCAAAUGCAAAUUGCAAACCUUUUAAACUAAUGUAGUGCCUAAAGUACACCUUUUUCCAUAAACAGGAUGAAAUUUCAACCAUUUGUCAUUCUCAGGCACAAAAAAGUCCUUUGAGCAGCAUCCAGCCUUCUAGCUCUUAAUCUCUCUUAUCAGCUCAGAGUCCUAAAAGCCCCAAAGAUCAGAUUCAGACAGCAGUCCUAGAGGAGUUGAAUAAAUUUGUAACGGAAAUUUCAACACUUAGCCUCAUGUUGGAUUCUGAGGAUAGCAGAAACCCUUCAAUGAAAGACUCUGAACUUAAUAAGGACAUAGAGGUGAUUACUUCGGGUGACCCAGUUAUCCAACCCUCGACUUCACAAGUUGAGUCUUAGUCUGUUCAUCCUCAUAUUAUUGUGGACAUCAUGAAGUUGGCUGUGGACAGGGUGAUGUCACUUCUGCCCCAGACUGAGGCAGCUUUACCAUCUGGGAGAUUCAGAUUCCAAGUGAGGAUGAAUCCAACCCCAGCAAACAGCUGAGCAGUCUACAGGUUAAAGGUCUUGCUGAAGGAGUCUUGCUCAAGGCCAGGCUUUCAAAAGUGCUGACAUGGCAUAAUCCUGCCUCCUGCCUGAUAUUCGGUAUAUGUCAGUUUAUGCAUCAUUCGAAUAUGCUGUAGGGUCCAAAAGUCUGAGACCACACUGGAAUUCUUGGAGUUAGAAAAUAGGACACAUUCAUGAGCCUUAAAUAUGCCAUAUUCUGCCUCAUUAAAAUUCAGUUCAACUUUAUUGUGAUUCUAUACAGUAUAUACAGGUGUGUGAAGAAUAACAAAUAACAUAAUAACAUUAAUAACGAAUAAUAUUAUUCACAGUAUUCAUGUAUGUAAGGCACAGUAUAGCUGUAUUGUUAGUGAACGUAUUUAAGUGGCUGUGCUAAACAUAUACAAAUUUCAGAGCUGUACACCAGUGCAGACAUACUAAUAACAGAUAGAUCAACAUGGUGGUAAAUAAAGUGGUAGUGCAAUAUUUCUAGGCCAAUAUUUAAGUUGGAGUAAAAAAGGUCAGGAUUUUCCUCGAGUCUUCUUCUCAAUUCUGAUUAAACACAUGUUCAGAGAGCACUCUGGUGAAUUUGCCUUUACACAGAUCAUCAGGUAUUGCACAAACUUGAAUGAACCCUGUUAUAAAAGCAAACUUCAAAUUGAUAUUUAAUGUGAUGCUAAUCUUUUGAAAGGACAAGACACAAUAGAAAGAUAGAUAGACAGACAUGACUGUGUGCAUCCCUUCAUUUCCACAAUUUACCCAUUUUAUAAUGGAUAUUACUAGCAUCUCUAGCAACUGGGUUCAUCCAGGAUCAUCGCUAGGGCUAAUCUAUGUAAAGAUAAUUUUAAUCUGGUAAAUGUUGAUCAUUUUAGUUGCUGUUUACUGUAUGCAAUUUUGACUGACAUCUCUCUCCGCGCACACACACUCAUAAGGUGCAGCAGACCGAUUGGUGUAUGAUCAGUGUAUGAUGCCAAAAUACCGCGAGACAUACCGUGAGACUGUUCUGUCAAUUCGACUGUUCUGUCAACUGAAAAAGGAAUUCUUAGCACUGUAAAUGCUAGUAUGGUCAGAAUACACAGUGUAUCACAGUUUGUUGCAUCAGGGUGCCUAUGCUGACCGGCAACAAUGGACACAUGAGCAUCAGAACUGGACAAUGGAGCAAUGGAAGAAGGUGGCCUGGUCUGAUGAAUCACGUUAAUGUUCUGCUGGGAAACAUUGGGUCCUGCCAUCCAUGUGGAUGUUACUUUAACACGUACCACCUACCUAAGUAUUGUUGCAGACCAUAUACACCCUUUUUAUAAUCCUUACAUUGUGAUUAAUAUAUGUAGUAUUCAGUAUGAUAGAGAGACCCUUUUGAAAGUCAUGUAAUCAACAUUGAGGGAAAGACCCUCACUGUAUUUUUUUUUUAUCUAAAUGAAAGACAUAUUAAUAAAGCAUGUUUAAGGUUGUUUAAAGGAAUGUGGGGGGGGCAACAUUUUUAAUGAAUUUGUCAGGAUGGGUGGACAUUUCCCUGACGGAACAGCUUGUGACCAAAAUAAAAUAAAAUCUAUAAAAUAAUAUAAAUCAUAAUAUAAAAUCAAGCACCUAGGCAUGCAGACUGCUUGUACAAUCAUUUGUGAAAGAAUGGGUCACUCUCAGGAGCUCAGUGAAUUCAAGCAUGGUACCGUGAUAGGUUGCCACCUGUGUAAUUAUGUUAUGUACAAUUAUGACACAAUGUUCACUUGCUGCCUAAUAAAUCCCACCCACUAACAGGUGCCAUGGUGAGGAGAUAAUCAAUGUUAUACACUUCAGCUGUCAGUGGUCAUAAUGUUAUGCCUGAUCGGUAUAUUAUGUGCAAUGUGGUCUUAAUUCUCUAGCACCUUUUGUAUACAUUAUGUACACUACCAAAGUUUGGACACACCUUUUAAUUCAAUGUUUUUUGUUUAGGGGUUUAUUUUCUAUAUUCUAGAACAAUACUGGAGAUUUCAAAACUAACUGGACUUAAGUAAUCCAUAUGUAAUGACAAAAAACAACACAGUUGUUAUUUUAACAAUUUAACAGUAUUGUCAAGUGCAUUUGCAAAACCCAUCAAGCACCAUGAUGAAACUGGCUCACAUGAAGACCAUCCCAGUAAAGCAAGACCAAGAUUUACCUCUGCUGCAGAGGAGAAGUUCAUUUAGCGUUACCAGCCUCAGAAAUCACCAAUUAACAGCACCUCAGAUUAGAGCCAUUAUGAAGGCUUUACAGAGCAUCAGUAGCAGACAUAUCUCAAUAUCAACUGUUCAAAGGACAUUAUUGUGUAUUUCGGCCGCCUUCAGCAUUGUUUUACAAUGUAGAAAGAAAUAAACAUCAGGAAAGACCUGUUCUUUAUGCCUGCCUGGUCCCAGCCUACAUAAAUGAGCUUCUGGUUCUUGACCCGGCCUGUUCCCAUUUUUGCCUCUCCCUGCCCCUUACCACCACUCUUUGCCAGUCAGUUAUUCUGACUUUGUUGGAAAUCACCUUCUGGAUCACCCAUAUGCGCUGAAGAUUAUAUUUGCCCUUUGCUGAUGGCCCUGGCAUUGUGGAUUACCCACAUGGAGGAUUUAUGGACUGAGUCAAUCAGAUUAUAUUCAUAGCAAUAACUGUGUCUGUUUUGUCCCAGUGGAUUAAACUUGUGGUGUUGUGUUUCUGUUGUAGAUUAUCCUCCUGUUCAUCAGAUUAUUACCAUUGUGAACUUGUAUUUACUCAAACUGUGAGAUUUUGCCACUUACCUUGUUUCUUUGCCUUUUAAUUAUCUUUUCAUUGGACUUUUUUUGGUUCAUGUUUGUUGUUUCUACCUCAUCUCCUUUGCUGAUAGACUGUGCCUAUUUCAUUUAAACACAUUAACUCAAGUUCAGUCUGAUUCCCUGCGUUUGGCCUCCUCCUGCCAUUCUUGACACAGGUAACUAGUUUAUUUUCCAUGGCGCUCUCUCUCUCUCUCUCUCUCUCUCUCUCUCUAUAUAUAUAUACACACAUUUUUUUUUUUAUUUCAGGCCAUUGGCACAGAGAGCCUCAUGGGGUUCUUGAACUACUGUGUGUUCAUGUAUAUCACUGCUUGACCAUUUACUUGUCACAAAUCUUUAUGACAUGCUGUGAAACGAACUCUGCAGUGUCUGGAACAGCCCAUAGCGAUACGAAUAUUUGAAUAUUGUUCGAUGUUUUCAUAUGUCUUUUUUGUUUACAAUGCCACGAGUUUUGUUUCGAUUCCUGUCCUAUCUUCACUCAUGUCUUAUUAAUGGUUUUUUCCCUUAUGUCUAUAUUGCCUGCACCUGCUUUAUUUGCCAAUUUUUUGUCUAUGUAAACCCUUGUGUGUCUUUUGCCUUGUCUGUUUAUGCACACACUUAUUUUUUUGCUUUUCUUAUUGCGUAGAUUUUGCUCAGUCCUCUCUACACUAUUUUGUAGGUUGCCUGACAAUUGCCUGUGCCUUGAUUUUGAGUAAUGCCUAUCAUUUUGAAUCUGUUUGCUCUUCUUACUAAACUGCCUACCUGCCCUGGUAUCUUUGUCCUCAAAAGUAAACCUUUCAGAUGGUAAAAGGAGGCCACCCAGGCACUCCAAAGUCUGAAGGACCAUUUCAACAGUACACCACCCAAAUCCUAUGCUUUGUUUUAUAAUGGAGUUUAUUUUAGUCCCAAGAAUUGAGUUGCAGAAAAAUGUCACAGUAGUACUGCAAAAAAGUACACCUGUACACCUUAAUUUCUUCUCAUGCAAAGAGCUGAAACUAUGGCACAGAUAACGAUGAACCAUCAAAAACAUCAUUAGAGGAGUAGCUUUAUUGCCUUACAGAGGUAAUAAAAAAAGAACAUUCCUGAUCAUUACUGACCACUUGAAGCUAGAGUACAUCAAGUCUAGAAACAACAAAAUCUCAGU